rnacentral:rRNA from 1 species
CUUGAACCCUAUAAGAGGUCCAGCCUGCCCAGUGAAACAAUUCAACGGCCGCGGUAUCCUAACCGUGCGAAGGUAGCGUAAUCACUUGUUCUCUAAAUCAGGACUAGUAUGAACGGCAUCACGAGGGUUAUACUGUCUCCUUUUUCCAAUUAGUGAAUUUAAUUUUCCCGUGAAGAAGCGGGAAUAAGCCUAUAAGACGAGAAGACCCUAUGGAGCUUUAAACAAUCUAGCAUCUGCCUAUAUUCUUCAUGUUUCAGAACUCUCUAGACCUCCUACAUAAUGACUAGAAGUUUUAGGUUGGGGUGACCGCGGAGUAAAACCCAUCCUCCAUAAUGAAAGAAUUUUAAUUCUUAACCAAGAAAUACCUAUCUAAGUAUUAACACACUGACAUUUAUUGACCCAAUACAAUUGAUCAACGAAC